rnacentral:rRNA from 1 species
GACAGAGGGGGCAAGCGUUGCUCGGAAUUACUGGGCGUAAAGGGCCAGUAGGCGGCCAACUAAGUCACACGUGAAAUCCCCAGGCUUAACCUGGGAACUGCGUGUGAUACUGGAUGGCUUGAAUUCGGGAGAGGGAUGCAGAAUUCCAGGUGUAGCGGUGAAAUGCGUAGAUAUCUGGAGGAAUACCGGUGGCGAAGGCGGCAUCCUGGACCGACAUUGACGCUGAACGGCGAAAGCUAGGGGAGCAAACGGG